CCGCGUGAGUGAUGUAAGGCCUAGGUUGUAAAGCUCUUUUGUGCGGGAAGAUGAUGACGGUACCGCGAGAAUAAGCCCCGGCUAACUUCGUGC
rnacentral:rRNA from 1 species